UCAAAAUCUCAAAUUCUCUCCUUUCCAUCAUUCAAGUCUUCAAGAACAGAGAAGCCAGCCCCCUACCGCCCAUGCCACCAUAUGCCACCACAAGCCACAAAAUUUGCUGCCGUUGUCGUCGUCCUAUCUACUAUCCCACUCUCCACAAAAACAUAUGUUGUAUAUGGUUUGAUUCAGAUUUGAGGGUAUGGGCUUUUUGUGGGUUUUAAGGAUUUUUUGUAGCAAUGGAUUGGUGACUUGGUGGUUCAUUGUGUGUGCACAAAGAUGGAAAUUGGGAUGAGAAAAGGAGAGAAGAUUAGGUGGUGGUGAAGGCAGCAACUCUGGCAUGUGUGUGGCGGGUUGCUGGAUUGGUGUUUCUUGUGAGGAAGAGAUGAGAUUUUAUUUUGACUUGAAUGAUAGAAAUUAGAAAGGAGGAGAUGGAUUUUGUUAUAUGAAAUGGCGUUUGUUUCUUGCAAGUUGUAUUCAAUUUUUUAAUAAUUGAUGAUGUGGCGUAGUAUUAUUGGAUGGCGUAAACCAAAGGGUUUCCGCCACAUUCGGACACAAUGUAAACUCUUUCAUUAAAUGAAACACUACUCAAGCUACGUCACCAUUUGUAUAAAGAAGUCUUCUUCUCUA